rnacentral:rRNA from 1 species
GGGGAAUAUUGCACAAUGGGCGAAAGCCUGAUGCGGCAACGCCGCGUGAGUGAUGAAGGCCUUCGGGUUGUAAAGCUCUGUCUUCUGGGACGAUAAUGACGGUACCAGAGGAGGAAGCCACGGCUAACUACGUGCCAGCAGCCGCGGUAAUACGUAGGUGGCAAGCGUUGUCCGGAUUUACUGGGCGUAAAGAGUAUGUAGGCGGAUAUUUAAGUCAGAUGUGAAAUUCCCGGGCUUAACUUGGGAACUGCAUUUCAAACUGGGUAUCUAGAGUGCAGGAGAGGAAAGCGGAAUUCCUAGUGUAGCGGUGAAAUGCGUAGAGAUUAGGAAGAACACCAGUGGCGAAGGCGGCUUUCUGGACUGUAACUGACGCUGAGGCAUGAAAGCGUGGGGAGCAAAC